UUGGGAUUUUGGUGGUUAAAAUGUUGAUAUGUGGGUGUUUUGUAGUGCGGAGUGGCUUCACACGGACUUAAGAAGAACAACUGUAGGAGUGGAUAUGAACGUUGAGAAACUUGAAUGAAGCUUAAAGAAUAAUGUUGAUACAAAUGGGGUUGAUGGUACUGUUUAAUAGGGAUGUACUAAAACUUAAGGAUGCUAGGCUCCAUAUGCUCCACAGUAGAACAAGGUAUAAGCCUCCACUAUAAUCUCUUGAAGCAUCAACGCAAGAUUCUCCAUGCAUUUUCAUACAUCUGGAGACUAAAAUGUUGAUUCAUAAUGCAUAAAGAAUAAAUCGGCUGAGUGGAUCAAAGUUACAUUUGGGCUUGGGGUACGAAUCCAACUAGUUGAGAAUAAGGAGCUACCAUCUCCAUGCUGGUUGCUUCUGUAGAAGUUCAGGGUAAAGCAACAUUAAAGAAACACAAGGAGAUAACCAUUGCAAGAGUAAACAAAUUGAGAGGGCGGUCGUCUGGUGAUAAAGUAUCUCAAACACAUUUGUACAGGUAAUGCAAGAUAUUUUACCUUGUCCGUAUGUUGGGGAAUGUUCAAGCGAUGUUACUUGUUGGCU